rnacentral:lncRNA from 1 species
ACGAUAUAUAUGAUUCUUCUCUUUGUAUAAUUGUUCUAGAGAAGGGUCCUAUAUAAACAUCAUUCAGUAGUAAAUCCAAUGUUAUAUCAUAAAGACUUUGGUGUCGUCUUGGACCCUAGAUUAUCAUAUCAUUGGCAUAUGGAAUUACUGAGGAAUAAACUGAAACAAACGAUGGGCUUUACUCGAAAAUAUUUGCAGGAUGUAAAAGAUACCAUGGCUCUUAAGGCUUGGUUUCAUGCAGCUUUCCUAUCGUCAAUUUUCUAUGGUAUUUGCAUUUAUGUAGUGCGCCUAAAUCGAUCUUAAGAAAAUUGAUAGAAGAACAUAAUAGUCUAAUGGAGGUUAUGCAGAGAAGGAUAUCUCGACUCAACCAAUUGCAGGGUAAUAAGAGUUCUGUGGAAUUUCCGAGCUUCCAGAAUUGUUUAGUUAAUCAUGAUUUGAUGUACAAUCUAGUCCAUAAAGUUUUUCCCACUCCUCGUAGGAGCUAUGCUUGCCGGAAGUUGAUCGGUUGCACAAUCAGGUACUUCUACCGAGAAUCAAGGCAGAUCAG